AGUGAACGCUGGCGGUAGGCCUAACACAUGCAAGUCGAACGGCAGCACAGUAAGAGCUUGCCCUUACGGGUGGCGAGUGGCGGACGGGUGAGGAAUACAUCGGCAUCUACUUUUUCGUGGGGGAUAACGUAGGGAAACUUACGCUAAUACCGCAUACGACCUACGGGUGAAAGCAGUGGAUCUUCGGACCUUGCGCGAUUGAAUGAGCCGAUGUCGGAUUAGCUAGUUGGCGGGGUAAAGGCCCACCAAGGCGACGAUCCGUAGCUGGUCUGAGAGGAUGAUCGGCCACACUGGAACUGAGACACGGUCCAGACUCCUACGGGAGGCAGCAGUGGGGAAUAUUGGACAAUGGGCGCAAGCCUGAUCCAGCCAUACCGCGUGGGUGAAGAAGGCCUUCGGGUUGUAAAGCCCUUUUGUUGGGAAAGAAAAGCAGCAGGUGAAUACCCCGCUGUUCUGACGGUACCCAAAGAAUAAGCACCGGCUAACUUCGUG
rnacentral:rRNA from 1 species